UACGUAGGUGGCGAGCGUUGUCCGGAUUUACUGGGCGUAAAGAGCGCGCAGGCGGUCGUGCAAGUCGCGUGUGAAAGCCCCCGGCUCAACUGGGGAGGGUCACGCGAUACUGCUCGACUCGAAGGCAGGAGAGGGAAGUGGAAUUCCCGGUGUAGUGGUGAAAUGCGUAGAUAUCGGGAGGAACACCCAUGGCGAAGGCAGCAAACUGGUCAUCAACUGACGCUGAGGCGCGAAAGCGUGGGUAGCAAACAGG
rnacentral:rRNA from 1 species